UCAGAUACUCUUUUAAUUUUUUUAAAAAAAAUGUUGCAUCACAAAUUUAACCCCCCCCCUCUCCCCCUCGUAACAAAUCGUCACAAAAUCGCCAACUUUUUUUUACAUUGUUUAUUUACAUUUUUAAAUUUAACUUUUAUAACAACGAGGAGUUAGUAUUCAUCAUCAAGAACAUAUCUUACAUCCUUGUCACGAUUUAAACCCAAAAGAUAACAUUUAAUUUCAAAAUACAAAUGAUACAUGGAGAAAACAAUAAUUUUAUUAACAAAAAGUUUGUUAUUGUUGUAUUUAAAAAUGAAAAUGAUAACAGAGGAAAAUGUUCAAUGGAAGUUAUACCAUCUUGCUUGCUUAUUGGAGCUGAUAUGUGUUAUUGGCCACCAAAACGCACUAGUUUAUCCAGAAUUGGACAUUAUAUUGAAACAUGUGCCAAAUAUGAAAUCAACUGGCAAAGGUUUUCCAUAAAGAUUCUUUCAAGCACAGACAACCUUAAAUCUGCCAAUGAACUUGCUGAAAAAAUCCUAUACACGUCAAAUGUAGAAACAGAGGAUAGUGAGUUUGAAACAGAGCAUUGUACAAAAAAAACAAAACCUUUUCUUGAUGCAGAAAGUGAUGGCGAUAUUUCUGAUGUGUCUGCAAAAAUGUGUGGUUUAAAAAAAAGUACUAAAAAAUCUAAAUUUACACCUUCAGUAUUUAAUCCAGUUAUCAUGUCUAAAACGCCAGACAGACUUGAUGUACCAGCUGCUGAAAUAACAGAAGUUCCAACAAGGUUUGAAUCACAAAUUGAUUUUGCAGUAAAUAAAGCAAAACUGCAGCAUUUUGAUCAGCAUGCUUUUGCGAUGAGAUUUUUUGCAUUUGAAAAGUCAUGCUUAGAUCUUUUAAACGGUGAUCGUUAUGAUAUUAAAAAUAUAAGAAAUCGUUUGGAUAACAUUGAGAAUAGGCUGCAAACUUUUAAAGAACCUGCUAUUGACCAAACCAUGUUAGCGUCAACUACACUCCAAACACAAUGGCAUAAUAUAUUGCCUAUAUUAAGCGAAAUAGACUUAGAAAACAUAGAAAUGAUGAUAGCAGAAAAAACUGUCAGUGAUUCUUUGGUAUUCAUGAUAUGCAAAUUGCAGUUAGUCGAGUUGCAUAUGGCACUUGACUAGUGUACUGUAUAAUUUACUGAAUAUACAAAUAAACUUGUAGGUUUGUCAUCUUGUUUUGUUGGGCGGCGAAAACUAUAAAAGAAUGACAACGGAUUUGCUGUUAGACGGAGGUU
rnacentral:misc_RNA from 1 species